rnacentral:rRNA from 1 species
UAGUAUUCAAUUGUCAGAGGUGAAAUUCUUGGAUUUAUUGAAGACUAACUAUUGCGAAAGCAUUUGCCAAGGAUGUUUUCAUUAAUCAAGAACGAAAGUUAGGGGAUCGAAGACGAUCAGAUACCGUCGUAGUCUUAACCAUAAACUAUGCCGACUAGGGAUCGGAUGAUGUUAAUUUUUUAAUGACUCA